CGGGUUUUAAUCCUGUGCUUUCACAUUCAAGAUAGCACUAUUGUUUACACAAAGUUGGCGAUGUUUGGGAAAUCAAAGCAUCCCGUUAUAAAAUAAAUCCUUUGUUGAAUAUCGGACAGGAUACACUUCAACCAUAAAUAACGGCGAUGCAUGCUCAACUUCGGCGAUGCAUGCUCAACUUCGCAAGCCAGGCACGUGUGGAGUCCCUCCCUUGAAGUGAAAUAUGAUCCAGCUUGUCGCUUGAAAUGUACCG